GAAGAUGUAGAAUGAGGGGGAGAAUAUAACAUGCAAACAAAAUGCCUCUAGUAUGCGGUCCUAGAACCCUUUGGCCAACCAUAGAAGGAAGAAAAGGUGAAAUAAGGCAAAAACAUGUAUCCUUCCAUAUAAAGGCCUAGAAUGCUUUGGCAUUUGAGAAGGCUUGGAAGGAAGCAUGUUCAUCUACUCUAUCUGUUCUGGUGGUGCCUAAGAACAAGAGCUACCUUCUUAAACCAAUUACAUUUUGAGGCCCAUGCAAAUCUUCUAUUAAAGUGAUGAUCUAUGGAACCAUCCAAGCUUUCACAAAUCGAUCAGAUUGGGACGGAUCAUACCAGCGGCACUAGCUUCUAUUCUGGAAGAUUACAAAGCUACUAGUUGAAGGUGGUGGAACCAUUGAUGGCAAUGGAGAGAUAUGGUGGAAUACUUAUGCAAAAUUGACAAAUCUCAAGUAAGUUCUUUAGGUUAGAAUUCGAAAAUUGACAAAUCUCAAGUAAGUUCUUCAGAUUAGAAUUCGAAAAUCGACAAACCUCAAGUAAGUUCUUUAGAUUAGAAUUCGAAUUCUCUAAAUUCAACAUUGCCUACUUUUCUUUUGCUUUUUACAAGAACUCACUGUGAUUGAAUUCUUCUUCUAUGAAUUUGCCGCCUUGUAAAGACACCCCAACGGUAUGUAACCCAUACCUUCGCAUGUGAAAUUGUAGAGAUUUUUCCAUCAACGCAUCAAAUUCUCUCAAUAGGAGUUCUUGAGAGGAAGUAGCUGAAAUUCUUCCUCUUUGGUUUUGUUAUAACAGACUGACAUUCUAUUCAUGCAAGAACUUGAAAGUAAAAGACUAGAGGUUCAAAGACAACCAACAAAUACAUCUUUCUUUUGAGAUUCAUGGAUUUUGCAGGUUAUCUGGAGUAGAUAGGGAGUGGACUCUCUCAAAAUAAUUCAAACAAAGAAACUUUGAACUUACAAAACGUCUCGCCUCUCUCAACAAGCUAGAGAUCCCAGUUCUGCUGCUUGGUCAUGCAUGAUGACACAUGCAUGCUUCACAAGGAGUGGAGCAUGGAGGAUUUUUAAUUUAUUUUUCAUGUAUU